rnacentral:tRNA from 1 species
CGCGGGAUAGAGCAGCCCGGUAGCUCGUCAGGCUCAUAACCUGAAGAUCAUCGGCUCAAAUUUGAUCGUAA